ensembl:lncRNA
GGCAAGGUAGGAAGAAAAGAGAGACAAAGAAAGGAUAAUCAAUUAAUGAGGCAAAAGGUUAGAGGCAUGUGGCAACAGGUAUCCUAAAACGAACAGAUUUAUGUUAAUUGUCACUCCUAAAAAUCACAGGAAGUUGUGUUACAAAAAAAUAGCAGUUUUCUUGUGCUCUUCCAGCUCUUCACAACAUUGUUCAGUGUUAGGGAGUUAGAAAAGCUACUAAUAAUAUGGUAAGCAGUAUGUUAAAGGAAUAUGGGGGUCUGGGAGUGAGUAAGGAACCUGAUUGCCCAACCAGGAAGCAAACUUGUGUAUUUGUUUUUGAUUGCCAGUAGUCACAUAGCUUCCCUAAGCCCUUGGAUGUGUUGUCAGCACACACUGUCAGCCACCUGUGGGACAAGGUGGGGGGAAAUAGUGAAUGAGGGGUGGAGAGGCAACACACCAGAGAGAAACAGUGACAUGGGAGGUUAUGAUAAUCAUUUAUAUGAAUAAAUUCUAAAGCCCAGAAAACAACUUGUGCCUAUGUACGGGUCUCAUCUUCUAGAGAGUCUACCAGCACACCUGUCCACAAAGCCAUCUUUUUCACCUUUUCACAAUAGGUCAGACUCCAAUUUCUAGAAUUAAUAUUUCUUUUCCAACGUGAGGAAAAUGAUGCUGUGCAGCAGGAACUGUUUAUUAUGAAGAACUGGUCCCAGAGCUGCAAGAAAGGCAGUGUAGGAAGGGGCACUGUCCAGCGCUUGUGGAAAACAGAUAGUCAUUGCCCAUGAGCUCGUGGCUGUCACUACUGCUGUUCAGACAGAAGGACAGAGAGACUGUAGCAGCAGAUAGGAAGAGCCUGAGGAGGGUGCAGAUGAGGUCAAACGCCGAAAUAUCUUGGUACAGGCUCUGGGUGGGAUGAUUAGUUGACAGCUGACAAGAGAGAUUAUGCUGAGAUACUGGACUCCAAUGGAAAGGCAACUUUUCUCCUCAAGGAUCCUAAAGACCCGUGUAGCUGUCAGCCUGCUGCUAGGAAAGCCUGCUGUCUCUGCCUUCUCCCAGCUGAUUCCCCUCUGCCAUGAAGAGGAGAUUUCAAGGGGAGCCUACCUGAAGAUGGGACAAGGAUUCCCAAGGCCUGCUGCAGCCGAAUGCCCCACGGCCUAUGGAGGCUCAACCCCUGAGGAGGAGCUGGAGUGGCUUCAGGACCCUGCUUAGUGCACUGGAGCUGCCAUCUGCAGCUCAGGAUGGACAGCUAAUGCCAUUCAAGCAUAUAGCGAGUCCAGAAGGACGUCGUCAUGAUGAGGAAGGUGUUGGCAAAAGGAGUGGCAGGGAACAAAAAGCACAAAAAAACUGAAGCUCACUGGGCUCCCUCAGGCCCUUCAGAAACUGAUGCAGUUUUGCUUCUUCCUUCAGAUUCUAUCACAAGUCUCGUAACAUUUGGUCUUUCUCCUGAGUAACUUUCUCACAGCCUGCACUCAAGGAAAACUUUCAUCAUCAUCUUCAAAGAUGGAAGCUAUCUUUCAAAGAAAAGCACAAAAACAUAAAUCCUAGGAAUAUCAAUGCAAAAAAAAAAUGCAAUUUAGAAACAAGCUUUGUGAAAUAUCUUGUGGCCAUUUUUUUACAUCUGAGUUGUGGCUCUGGGCUUAUAUCUCAUUCUGAGCUUAGCCUUCUGCACAGAAGUUUCAAAAUUCCCCUCUCCCCCUGUGGCCAUGGAAGAAAAGAGGGACUUCGCAAAUCCCAGCUCCGAGUAUGACCUGCAAGCUGAGCAUGAUCGAAUCAAGGGAAGUAUUGCUCAGAAUGAACUGCCUUGAAAUGUUUGUGCCUAUUUAUGAUGUCAGUUGAGGAAUGUUUUACAUAGGCUGAACUAGUGUGAGACUUAAAGGGGCCUUGCACAGGGGCUAAGACGUGGGCCUUCUCUCAACCCAUCCAUGGAAUGUGCUGCUCCUGCAGUAGGCCCCACAAGUGUGGGCUCCCACGUACACUGUUACUCUCAUUUAGCUCUCUGGUGGAAGUCAGUGGUUCAAGCGGAGCCUAAUCCUGACUUGCUAGGCAGACACUCAACAGUUUCAGGAUAUCCAAUUUUUCCAGGCUUUUCAUCAGAUUCCUUCUGAAAUGGGAGUCACAGCCCUGUGAUUGUCCUCUACUGGCUUGUAGGUAGUAGUGAUCUCCUGUCCUGCCAUGUAUGGUCCUCUCUGGCUGAAACAGUGAUUAGUAUUUUAGUAGUCCCUUCUGCCCACAAAACAGCAUUUCCUGUGCUCCAUAUUACUGCUUAUCCCGAGUAUUUCCAAAAGCUAUGCUUUUCUGUGAUAUAAGGGGAAAAAAACCUCCAACCAAACAUAAAGAAAUGCGAAAAGACAGUUCAUUUUGUGAUAUAUCAUUUUAUUCUUAUUUUUUGUAAUUAUGUGCCUAUUAAUCUGAUAUUUUUGUUUCAUAUUUUUCCUGCACUGCAAUAUAUGGGGAUCAUUUGUUUGAUUACUGUAGUAGAAACCUGAUGAAAUGGCACAGGUCUAUCAAAUAGGCACUGGAAUCAAGGGAUUUACUGGGCAAAGGCACCUCUGUGCUGCUAUAUGUAAAAACACUGAACAACUGAUCUGGUAAAAUAUACACCGACUUCAAGGGAAAUAGUAUAGAACACUUCAGAGCCUUGAGAAUGGCCAGACAUGAAUUAUGCCUAUAUAUGUCUACAUUACUAUUUUAUUGAGCAAGAUAAGGAUAAAAAGAGGAAAAUCAAUCAUAUUCAAGCAACCUAGAACUACCAAA